CCUACGGGAGGCAGCAGUGGGGAAUAUUGGACAAUGGGCGAAAGCCUGAUCCAGCAAUGCCGCGUGAGUGAUGAAGGCCUUAGGGUCGUAAAGCUCUUUUACCCGGGUAUGAUAAUGACAGUACCGGGAGAAUAAGCCCCGGCUAACUCCGUGCCAGCAGCCGCGGUAAUACGGAGGGGGCUAGCGUUGUUCGGAAUUACUGGGCGUAAAGCGUGCGUAGGCGGUUAUUCAAGUCAGAGGUGAAAGCCCGGGGCUCAACCCCGGAACGGCCUUUGAAACUAGGUAGCUAGAAUCUUGGAGAGGUCAGUGGAAUUCCGAGUGUAGAGGUGAAAUUCGUAGAUAUUCGGAAGAACACCAGUGGCGAAGGCGACUGACUGGACAAGUAUUGACGCUGAGGCACGAAAGCGUGGGGAGCAAACAGGAUUAGAUACCCUGGUAGUCCACGCCGUAAACGAUGAUAACUAGCUGUUCGGGUACUUGGUAUNUGUAGUGCGCAGCUACGACAUUAAGUUAUUCCGUCCGUCGGGUAGGUACGGUCGCGAGAUAAACUACGAAGAAGUAGUAGCGNGAGACGUGUCCGACGACGACGACGAGGGAGGUAGG
rnacentral:rRNA from 1 species